rnacentral:tRNA from 1 species
GGUCCCGUAGCUCAGCUGGAUAGAGCACCGGCCUUCUAAGACGGUUGUCGUAGGUUCGAACCCUACCGGGAUCG